rnacentral:rRNA from 1 species
GCACAAGUAGCGGAGCGUGUGGUUUAAUUCGAUGCUACACGAAGAACCUUACCAGGGUUUGACAUACAAGUAGUAGGGAAGGAAACUGGACCGACCUUCGGGGAGCUUGUACAGGUGCUGCAUGGCUGUCGUCAGCUCGCGUCGUGAGAUGUUGGGUUAAGUCCCGCAACGAGCGCAACCCUUAUCAUUAGUUGCUACGCAAGGGCACUCUAAUGAGACUGCCGGUGACAAACCGGAGGAAGGUGGGGAUGACGUCAAGUCCUCAUGGCCCUUAUGGGUAGGGCUUCACACGUCAUACAAUGGUCGGUACAGAGGGUUGCCAAGCCGCGAGGUGGAGCCAAUCCCAGAAAGCCGAUCGUAGUCCGGAUUGUUCUCUGCAACUCGAGAGCAUGAAGUCGGAAUCGCUAGUAAUCGCGGAUCAGCAUGUCGCGGUGAAUACGUUCCCGGGCCUU